GAGUUUCUUGCAAAACUAAGCAUAAUACUUCUUUCUUUUUCGCUUCAACGACUCGUGGUUUUCAGUUUCCUUUCCUUAAUCCGCUUCCUGGCCUUGUCAGAUUAUUCCAUUUGUGUCAAGUAUGAAUUCUUUUUCUAUGAAUGCAAGCUUUUUCAUUCUCCCAUUCUUGUUCGAGAUCAUUCUUCUUCCUCACCCAAACAUAAAGGUCAACCGAUUCUUUGCUCAUCCUUAAUACCAGUCACUGUCUAGCAGCCUAACGUAUCU
rnacentral:lncRNA from 1 species